ACAAUCUCAUUUCAUUGUGGAAAAAUUCUUUGCAGAGCAUCAUUGCAGUCACAGAGACUGCUGUACUUUAGAUUCAGAAUGAAGGGAUAGUUUCUAGAGACAAAUUGGAACUAGAAGAUACAGGGGAAGGUGAGCUCAUGCUUGAAGCUAGUCAUUUGAGCAGCGCUUGGGACACUAUGGACUCAACUGAAAAAACUGAAGUGCUCAGACAACAUCCUUAUGUCUUUGAUUCAGGCCUUGACAUUGAGCUGGUCACAGGGGGUCAAUAAUUUUCUUCCCCAUCUAUCAUCUCUUUGUAGGAAUACACUAAGACCUGGGAAUUGAUUUAUUCCAUAGUACACAUGAUCAGGGUGAGAAUGCCUUAGCCAAAGACCAAACUAACAUCUUAAUGAAGAAAAAGAAGAGGGUUUCAUAUCCAUAAAUCCAAGGAAAAGUUGUAGCUGUAUUUACAACUCAGGGUGCAGGUGCAAUGUCCUGAGUUGCUUUCCUCUUCAUACCCUGAUGUCAUGAAGUUCUUUUUCACUUCUAGCCCAGAAUGAUUGAGUUGGCCAUCUAAGCACUGAGACUUCAGAAACCACGAGACACAAAUAAAUUUUCUUCCUCUAAAAUUGA